rnacentral:rRNA from 1 species
AGCGAACGCUGGCGGCAGGCUUAACACAUGCAAGUCGAGCGGGCACUUUCGGGUGUCAGCGGCGGACGGGUGAGUAACGCGUGGGAACGUGCCCUCUGGUUCGGAAUAACUCAGGGAAACUUGAGCUAAUACCGGAUACGCCCUUUUGGGGAAAGGCUUGCUGCCGGAGGAUCGGCCCGCGUCUGAUUAGCUAGUUGGUGGGGUAACGGCUCACCAAGGCGACGAUCAGUAGCUGGUCUGAGAGGAUGAUCAGCCACACUGGGACUGAGACACGGCCCAGACUCCUACGGGAGGCAGCAGUGGGGAAUAUUGGACAAUGGGCGCAAGCCUGAUCCAGCCAUGCCGCGUGAGUGAUGAAGGCCUUAGGGUUGUAAAGCUCUUUUAUCCGGGACGAUAAUGACGGUACCGGAGGAAUAAGCCCCGGCUAACUUCGUG